GUGAAUAAUACAUUUCAAGGCCAGUGGGAACUGACUGAAUGUGACAGGGCCAUUUUGUGUCUCUAGUGAAUAAUACAUUUCAUGGCCAGUGGGAACUGACUGAAUGUGACCGGGCCAUUUUGUGUCUCUAGUGAAUAAUACAUUUCAAGGCCAGUGGGAACUGACUGAAUGUGAUCGGGCCAUUUUGUGUCUCUAGUGAAUAAUACAUUUCAAGGCCAGUGGGAACUGACUGAAUGUGAUCGGGCCAUUUUGUGUCUCUAGUGAAUAAUACAUUUCAAGGCCAGUGGGAACUGACUGAAUGUGAUCGGGCCAUUUUGUGUCUCUAGUGAAUAAUACAUUUCAAGGCCAGUGGGAACUGACUGAAUGUGAUCGGACCAUUUUGUGUCUCUAGUGAAUAAUACAUUUCAAGGCCAGUGGGAACUGACUGAAUGUGACAGGGCCAUUUUGUGUCUCUAGUGAAUAAUACAUUUCAAGGCCAGUGGGAACUGACUGAAUGUGACAGGGCCAUUUUGUGUCUCUAGUGAAUAAUAACAGCUGUUUUGGAAACUACUAGAGAGACAGACAUUGAUUCUGUGGAUGUAUUCCCUUGUUAAUUUCUUUGUAUUGCUGAAGAUGUAUAUUAAUUUAUUUAUCGCUUUGUGUUGUGAAGCUUAACAUUAUAACAAGCACUGCAGGUACAGGAACCAUUUUUUAAUAUUCUAUAGCUGUAAAUGACUAAAUUUGAAAGGGAGAAUUGUGAAUUACUUGAAAAGGUUUCUCCAAUGAAAAAAAGACUAAUAUGUCAGUUGUUACUUCAAAUACUUCAGAAAUUGCUCAUCUAAAAGAAAACAUGGAAGGAUGAAUUUCUAAAGUAUUCUCAUAUGUCAUUUUGGUGUCCUGCCUACAGGUUCUUUCCAUGUAUUGUAACUUAUCUUUACCAGCAGGGGGAGACAAAGUCAAAACUUUGAACACACUCUUAUUCAGAUUUUUACAUGGCGAGAAUCUCAAUUCAAUUUGCUCGACUCCUCGCGUCCUCUUCGCUGCCCUCUCCUGGUUGAAAACGUGGACACAAAUGUGCUUGUAUAUUUGUAUAGCAUAUAGUUUUUAAACAUGAGCAUGCGUUUCUCUUCCGAGAAGAAAACAACUGAUUUUGUGGCGGAUUUCAAAACGCUUCUACGAUAUGGAGCCGAGCAGGUACAUUUGUGCUUCCUCGCUGGGAGAAGGCUAUUGAGGAGGACACUACUCUGUUCACCUAUUAACAAAUUGACACUCGUCUACAUAUGGCGACCACUUUUCAUUUUAUGGGUCACGAAAGAGAAAAGUACUUAGGAGACGAGAAGAGGAGAGACUUUACCAAUUGAGAAACUCCCAUGACUUCCAAUGUGUUCUUUUUAAGUGACAAAGAGAUUGAGACACAUUGGAUUAGAUCAAGAGUCCCAACAAUGACUAGUAUUUUGUUGUAAUCUUUAUUGUAUUGAACUUUAAUUUGAGAAGAAAGUCAAUGCACACUGAAAAGUAGUAAAACAUCUCAUGAAGGUAUAACAAUACAUUCUCUGAACAUCUCAUUUCAAGUUAUGUAAAUACUGUACAUUUAAUAUUCUGUUUCUAUGGAUGUUGAUGGUAAUACACUGAAAGUACACAAAGGAUCUUUGUGAAAUACUGAUUAUUAACCGAGAACUGAUAAAAGAUGAGAAUCAAAUGACAUCUUCAUUUGUGGUUAAGGAAGAAAAGAAAAAUGUCAUGUAAAUACAAACAUCCUUGAAGAUUUUCAAAAGAUAUGACCCUGAUUAAACAUUUAAAGAUGACAAACACUUUAUAUACAUUACAUUCACCAUAUAUAUACAGUAUAUUACAAAAAAUAGGCAGCAAAAGAGUAUUGAUGAUUCAAACAACAUGAAACAAUAGCCUAGUCAUAAAGAUAUUGCAAAAUAUUAUUGGUUUCCCUUUCUUCAUUAUUGUAUAUUUCGUUCCAAAUUACUGUACAACACUUUAGACAAAAUCCACAAAAAAAAUAUUUUAUUUGCCUCAUUUGAGUUCUCUCUAGGUUCAAGGCUUCAUUAUCAAGCUAGGUCUACACUUACCACAACUACAAGAGAUCUACGGAAGGCUCAACUAAACAUUUACUGGCAGGAAAAGACAACUUAAAUCAAUUCAACAUUUUGUACAUCGUAAUUAGUAUUUUUCCACCAGAAAAAUUGAUGUAUGCAUUAACCAUAAUCUAUCUCUAAAACUGUACUUACUUUAGAUGUAUUGGACUUCAGAGUGAUUUUGAAAUUGCCACUGAAUUCAAAUCUGCCUUUAUUUUGAUUGACAGGUACACUACACUUUAACUUCUAACAUUUUCCAUCAAUGUCUUGACUUUAACGUUGAAUAUACAUUUCACUACAUUCGGUUAUGGGUGAUCUUUAGCAAAAUGCUUGUUAUAAAUGAAUACCACUGUAGGAGAUUAGAAUGCUGGUGAGUUGAAGUAGGUUGAAAAGGCCUGAACAUAUGACUUACUGAUGUAGAAUCUUAAAUUUGAUCACUCUUUGUCGCUGAGAGGAAAAGCAAAUGUGUGAUGUAUUCCAGGUUUAAAAAGGCUUCUAAAGAUUGUAAUUUCCACUUUAAAAUGUCAGACUUGAUUUGCCUUAACGGAAAUGUAUCAACAAAAAUGUCCAUUCAUUUUAAUCCACAUAAUAAUUCACAUUUCCAGUUGCUGCUGGAUUAUUUUCCUGUGGUCAAGAACUGGCUCAAAUUAAGAUCCUACAUCUGUACUGUGAGACUGAGCCAGCAUGACAACUGACAAUGACCUGACUAUAUACAUUCGACUACAUACAAUAUAUACAUUCAUCCAGACACUGUACAGGGAUACAUUAAUACAAUGAGCUCUGCGGGACUUUCUCUCUUUUCCUUUUCUUAUUAUGAACACGUUGGAUCAGGCAGGAGAACUGACAGUGGAGUUUAACCGAGUAAGACAGUGAUGGAGGUUCAUUCAGUGAUAGGGGAUAUAAGUGGUGUGUCCCAAUAAACAUAUUUUUCCUGAAGUGUGCACUUGUACACUACUUACCACAAAUCUAAAAGCAUUGGAUUGGUGGAGGUAUGGGCUAGUUUCCAUCAUGCUUUUUACACCAAUCAUACUAACCCUUUCAGAUCAGUGAAGGGAAGUAAACAAGUGCACACUUUGGGAGAAAGGAGUGAUAAUUGGGACAUAAGCCAGGAGUCAUACAGUGAUAGGAAGGUAGACUGCAGGGGUCAUGGGGUCAACCAGGGAUAAUAAUAAUCAUUGAUUAAACUUUUAUAGCUCUUUUCAUUUACAGACAGAAUCUCAAGGUGCUUGUUAAGCAAAAUAAUCAACAAAAAGUAAUUUAAAAAGAAAUAGGCUAAAACAGUAGCUAGAUCAGCUAGUUUGAGUGGUUCUAUAUCAGCUAGCUUGAGUGGUUCUAGAUCAGCUAGUUCGAGUGGCUCUAGAUCAGCUCGUUUGAGUGGUUAUAGAUCAGCUAGUUUGAGUGGCUCUCAAACAGUCAUGGGGUUAACAGACAGUCAUGGGGUUAACAGGGUCAGACAGUCAUGGGGUUAACAGGGUCAGACAGUCAUGGGGUUAACAGGGUCAGACAGUCAUGGGGUUAACAGGGUCAGACAGUCAUGGGGUUAACAGGGUCAGACAGUCAUGGGGUUAACAGGGUCAGACAGUCAUGGGGUUAACAGGGUCAGGCAGUCAUGGGGUUAACAGGGUCAUACAGUCAUGGGGUUAACAUGGUCAGACAGUCAUGGGGUUAACAUGGCAAGACAGUCAUGGGGUUAACAUGGUCAGACAGUCAUGGCCAGACAGUCAUAGGGUUAACAUGGUCGGACAGUAAUGGUCAGACAGUCAAAGGGUUUACUUGGUCAGACAGUCAUAGCGUAACAUGGUCAGACAGUCAUAGGCUAACAUGGUCAGACAGUCAUAGGGUAACAUGGUCAGACAGUCAUAGGGUUAACAGGGUCAGGCAGUCAUAGGGUUAACAGGGUCAGACAGUCAUGGCCAGACAGUCAUAUGGUUAACAUGGCCAGGAAGUAAUGGUCAGACAGUCAUAGGGUAAACAGGGUCAUACUCAUGGGGUUAACAGGGUCAGACAGUCAUAGAGUCAGACAGUCAUAGGGUUAACAUGGUCGGACAUUCAUUGGGUUAACAUGGUCAGACAGUCAUAUGGUAACAUGGUCAGACAGUCAUAGGGUUAACAUGGUCAGACAGUCAUAGGGUUAACAUGGUCAGACAGUCAUAGGGUUAACAUGGUCAGACAGUCAUAGGGUUAACAUGGUCAGACAGUCAUAGGGUUAACAUGGUCAGACAGUCAUAGGGUUAACA
ensembl:lncRNA